CCUACGGGAGGCAGCAGUGGGGAAUAUUGCACAAUGGGGGAAACCCUGAUGCAGCAACGCCGCGUGAGUGAAGAAGGUCUUCGGAUUGUUAAGCUCUGUUUGUAGGGAAGUGGAAGGAGGGUACCUGCACUGGAAGCCACGGCUAACUACGUGCCAGCAGCCGCGGUAAUACGUAGGGGGCAAGCGUUGUUAGGAAUAACUGGGCGUAAAGGAUGCGUAGGCGGUUAAACAAGUUAUAUGUUAAAUAUAUAGGCUUAACCUGUAGAAAGCAUAUGAAACUGGUUAACUAGAGUGCAGGAGAGGUAAGUGGAAUUCCUGGUGUAGCGGUGAAAUGCGUAGAGAUUAGGAAGAACACCAGUGGCGAAGGCGACUUACUGAACUGUAACUGACGCUGAGGCAUGAGAGCAUGGGGAGCAAACAGGAUUAGAUACCCGAGUAGUC
rnacentral:rRNA from 1 species